rnacentral:rRNA from 1 species
UACGUAGGGUGCAAGCGUUGUCCGGAAUUAUUGGGCGUAAAGAGCUCGUAGGCGGUUUGUCGCGUCUGCCGUGAAAGUCCGGGGCUCAACUCCGGAUCUGCGGUGGGUACGGGCAGACUAGAGUGAUGUAGGGGAGACUGGAAUUCCUGGUGUAGCGGUGAAAUGCGCAGAUAUCAGGAGGAACACCGAUGGCGAAGGCAGGUCUCUGGGCAUUAACUGACGCUGAGGAGCGAAAGCAUGGGGGAGC